AAACUCUUCACUCAGUUAGGUGUAAACCGGUGGAAAGCGAGCUGUCCACCUGGAGCACCAGCUAUCCGGACAGCCGUUAAAAUCCUAUUUUUUUCACAAGGAGACUUGUAUUUCCAGGUUGCUGGCAUCAUCUUGUCUUCUGCCGUGGCCGACCAGAGUCAAAAUACAGCCUAAUGCACACGACUCCCCCUUCCCCAGACAUUCCCAAACUUACACAACUAUCUCACUCAACCUUGGCCACAUGCUGUUGUGUAAGUCCAUGGAUUCCAAAGGAUGGAGUCACAGGGCUGUUGUAAAACUUACUGGCAAGAGGGUGUUUCUGUGUUUCUCCUCUUCCCUUGUCUCCCAUUUAUCAAAACCAUGUGUUUGACUGGGGAAAGAGACACGUGGCAUGGAGAAGAAUGGAAAAACAAACGUGAAAAGGAGGGAUUUACAGAAAGAGAAUAGGACGGAGAUGGAGCCAGGGACAGAGUAAGAUAUUUAGAGGAACAGUGAGAGAUCAGGUCAUUAAACGGAAAGAGAAGGUGUUGGGACGCUCUGGCUACAUGGAAAGAGUGAGGGAGAAGAGAGGCGUGCUUUCCGCAAACAUCUGGAAAUCAUCAUGCAUAAAAAAAUCUUGGACCGCAAAUUCCCUUUAAGCUACAAGAGAACACAGAGUUCCCACUCUGCUGUGAGUUCACACA